rnacentral:rRNA from 1 species
UACGGAUAAGAAAUAGGUAGAUUUUUUAUGGGAUCGUCGUCGGUAGCAGCAUCCGGAGGCGGCGGUCGGUUCUUGCCUCGCGGCCGGCGGUCGAGGGACGAGAGGCGGAGGGACCUUGCAGCCUAGAACGGUGGUAAGGUUUGAGCGGCCGAGAGGGGUGGGGGUUCCAGUGUAGAGAGGGUACCGAGGGGAGGUUGGGACUCAAGGAGCGUAUCCCGUGCCUGACUUAGGCCGCACACCUAGGUUCCGUACGGCGGGGAGGAGGCUGAUCGGUUGGUACCACCGCACCAAGGAGUACGCCAGGAGGAGGCUGGUCGGUUAGUAUCGCCGCACCAAGCAGACUGAACGCGUCCCCGAGAAGAGAGGGUAGCCAGCCGCGGAGCUGAAGCUUAGGAUGUCGGCCGUGGAGCUGAAGUCGAACGUGUCUGGUCGUAGGAAACAACGGUCUAGAAUUGGUGUGGCUCAAGGAGGCCAGCAGCAGCACUUGGAGGUUCGUCUAUUCGGUUGGAAGUACACAUGAAGGGCAAUAUAGAGGUGUGAGAUAAGGAGCGACAAAACAAAAAGUCCUUCUUCCACCUAAUCACCGAUAAAGGUCAUACAUCUACCCUACCGUUAUCGAGAAGGAACCAACUUCCUACGUUACGUAGAGCGACUUAAGGUUCGACAUAAUAAAACCCAGAUGGAUCUAUGGGUUCGUCCCCUCUAUUUCCGACGUUCAACCCACCUUUCGAUCCCUCUGUUAAGAGCGGUUAUAUUUCUCUUCCUCUUUUUUUGACAAGGUUUCCUAUAUCGAUGUGAAGUGUCGUGACCCUAACACCUACAACUAUGUUUAACCUACACGAAGACACAUCAGGGUUCAGUUCGUUAAAGAGUGAUUACACAGUGCGCUUCUAAAAAAAGGUUUUCCGUUUCUAAGUAUCGAUCGUCAAAUAGUCGACUACUGAGAACGAAACAACUAACAACACGAAUUAGUUAUAGGAAUGUCCAAACACCCCCUCUACAGGGUACUGUUGUGUUAGGUCACGUAUUAACGAAAUCGUCGGCCUUUUUCUCAGUUCUACGUCGCUACGUCACAGUUCACUCGUUACCGUACAGUACUCGUUAACGCCCCGGUCUACACUCGCGGUGACGACAGGGUGUUACUUGUUCAAUAAGACGACAAAUACUAGUUCCGUAACAAACUAUUCCUUUGGGUAAACGAAGACUUGAUUAGGUGCACCGUUGAAGGUACCAAGUAGAUUAUAUUAAAACUUUCGUUAGACUAUGCUGGAGUUCACACGCAAACGUAAGCACAAAAAACACACUUAGCUGAAGCUCACACAUCGAAACCAUUCUAUUAGGAAAGGUACGUACAGGUCGUAUGUAUAUCG